GGGCACCNCCAGGAGUGGAGCCUGCGGCUUAAUUUGACUCAACACGGGGAAACUCACCCGGUCCGGACACUGGAAGGAUUGACAGAUUAAAAGCUCUUUCUUGAUUCAGUGGGUGGUGGUGCAUGGCCGUUCUUAGUUGGUGGAGUGAUUUGUCUGGUUAAUUCCGAUAACGAACGAGACUCUAGCCUGCUAACUAGUUCGCCGGCAGCUCUUGUCGCGCGGCGCCGCUUCGGCGGCAAACUUCUUAGAGGGACAGGUGGCGUUUAGCCACACGAAGUAGAGCAAUAACAGGUCUGUGAUGCCCUUAGAUGUCCGGGGCCGCACGCGCGCUACACUGAAAGAAUCAACGUGGAUGCCCACCUGCUCCGAGAGGAGUGGGAAACCCGAUGAAUCUCUUUCGUGAUGGGGAUUGGGGCUUGUAAUUGUUCCCCAUGAACGAGGAAUUCCCAGUAAGCGUCAGUCAUCAGCUGGCGCUGAUUACGUCCCUGCCCUUUGUACACACCGCCCGUCGCUACUACCGAUUGAAUGGUUUAGUGAGACCCUCGGACUGGAGUCCGUCCGCCGCUUUCGGGUGGUGGAUGGGGACGGAAAGACGGUCGAACUUGAUCAUUUAGAGGAAGUAA
rnacentral:rRNA from 1 species